ensembl:lncRNA
GAGAGGGAGAGAGACAGAGGGAGAGAGAGAGAGAGAGAGAGAGAGAGAGAAGGAGAUAGAAGGAGAGAGAGAGAGAGAGAGAGAAGGAGAGAGAAGGAGAGAGAGAGAGAGGGAGAGAGAGACAGAGAAGAAGAAGAAGGAGAGAGAAGGAGAAAGAAGGAGAGAGAGAGAAAUAUGGCUGUUUUUCCUGUUUAACAAUCCCUACUCUAAACAAUUCCAGGAGGAAAGUGUGAGUCUCCAAGGUGGAUUUUGGACACAGAUUUAUGCCCCUAUCCCAGCCAGGGACAAUCACCCAACCAUCAUAUUCACUAAUAUGCUGCACCAAGGCAGAGAGAAAUUUGCAUUAUAAUUGUAAAGCCAAAUUCAAACCACUCAUACAUGUUCCAUACAUAACUACAAUUACAAGAGUAUGUGUACAACUGGGGCAGAAUAUUUAAGUGUGAUCUGUAUGCUGAUUGGAAUACAUGCUAUUGUCUUAGAGGACAAUAAUAUACACAGAUGUUUGAUUUUAUGGUUACUGCAUAUAGUAUGUCCCCAACAGUACAUGUGGAGGAAGCAUAUCUGAACUACAGGUAUUGGGAGGAAGACAAAAUCCUCAACAGCUUCUUUGACCAAAAUGGAAACAUAUUGUUAAGAUGGUCUGUAAUAAGGAGAGCAAAUCUGUAUGGCAACACAUCCUGUCUGGACUUUACCCGGGCAGUGGCACACUAUCUCUGUGACAUGUGUUAUGUAGUUUGGGGUAUAGGAGAAAUCAAUUAGAAACUCAAUGCAUACAUACAAGUGUUGUUGAAUAUGAAAUAUAUACAGUUGAAGUAGGGAAGUUUACAUACACUUAGGUUGGAGUCAUUAAAACUUGUUUUUCAACCACUCCACACAUUUCUUGUUAACAAACUAUAGUUUUGGCAAGUUGGUUAGGACAUCUACUUUGUGCAUGAAACAAGUAAUUUUUUCAACAAAUGUUUACAGAAAGAUUAUUUCACUUAUAAUUCACUGUAUCACAAUUCCAGUGGGUCAGAAGUUUACAUACAAUAAGUUGACUGUGCCUUUAAACAGCUUGGAAAAUUCCCAAAAAUUAUGUCAUGGCUUUAGAAGCUUCUGAUAGGCUAAUUGACAUAAUUUGAGUCAAUUGGAGGUGUACCUGUGGAUGUAUUUCAAGACCUACCUUCAAACUCAGUGCCUCUGCUUGACGUCAUGGGAAAAUCAAAAGAAAUCAGCCAAGAACCCAGAAAAAAAUUGAAGACGUCCACAAGUCUGGUUCAUCCUUGGGAGCAAUUUCCAAACGCCUGAAGGUACCACGUUCAUCUGUACAAACAAUAGUACGCAAGUAUAAACACCAUGGGACCACGCAGCCUUCAUACCGCUCAGGAAGGAGACGCGUUCUGUCUUCUAGAGAUGAACGUACUUUGGUGCGAAAAGUUCAAAUCAAUCCCAGAACAACAGCAAAGGACCUUGUGAAGAUGCUGGAGGAAUAGAUGGAAUUAGAUGGUAUCAUGAGGCAGGAAAAUGAUGUGGAUAUAUUGAAGCAACAUCUCAAGACAUCAGUCAGGAAGUUAAAGCUUGGUCACAAAUGGGGCUUCCAAAUGGACAAUGACCCCAAGCAUACUUCCAAAGUUGUGGCAAAGUGGCGUAAGGACAGACAAAGUCAAGGUAUUGGAGUGGCCAUCACAAAGCCCUGACCUCAAUACCAUAGAAAGUUUGUGGGCAGAACUUAAAAAGCGUGUGUGAGCAAGGAGGCCUACAAACCUGAUUCAGUUACACCAGCUCUGUCAGGAGGAAUGGGCCAAAAUUCACCCAACUUAUUGUGGGAAGCUUGUGGAAGUUAAACAAUUUAAAGGCAAUGCUAUCAAAUACUAAUGGAGUAUGUAAACUUCUGACCCACUGGGAAUGUGAUGAAAGAAAUAAAAGCUGAAAUAAAUCAUUCUCUCUAUGAUUAUUCUAACAUUUCACAUUCUUAAAAUAAAGUGGUGAUCCUAACGGACCUAAAACAAGGAUUAUUUUACUGGAAUUAAAUGUCAGGAAUUGUGAAAAACUGAGUUUAAAUGUAUUUGGCUAAGGUGUAUGUAAACUUCUGACUUCAACUGUAAUUACAUAAAGAUAAAGGUAGGGUUGAAGCCGCCCUUUGUAAAACAUGUUUCUCAAGAAAUAAAUCACAUCAUCACAUAAAAGCAGGUCUGGUUGAGCAAGCAAAAAUUAAUAGCAUCUGGGGAUGUUACAGCAGUAUGAUGGUAUAGGAGUAGGAUGUUAUAGGGCCAGGUGUUGUAGGAGUAGGAUGUUAUAGGAGUAGGGUAUUAUAGGAGUAGGAUGUUAUAGGGCCAGGUGUUAUAGGAGUAGGAUGUUAUAGGGCCAGGUGUUAUAGGGCCAGGUAUUAUAGGGCCAGGUGUUAUAGGAGUAGGGUGUUAUAGGGCCAGGUGUUAUACGGCCAGGUGUUAUAGGAGUAGGGUGUUAUAGGGAGUAGGGUGUUAUAGGGCCAGGUGUUAUAGGGCCAGGUGUUAUAGGAUUAGGAUGUUAUAG